rnacentral:tRNA from 1 species
GGCCUCAUAGUUCAAUGGAUAGAAUAGAAGUUUCCUAAACUUUAGAUGCAAGUUCGAUUCUUGCUGAGGCCACUA